rfam:TPA: Bos taurus chromosome 29, whole genome shotgun sequence.
UCCCUGGUGGCUCAGAUGGUAAAGAAUCUGCCUGCUAUGCAGGAGACCUGGGUUCCAUUCCUGGUUUGGAAA